rnacentral:rRNA from 1 species
UACGUAGGUGGCAAGCGUUGUCCGGAUUUACUGGGCGUAAAGAGCGCGCAGGCGGUCGUUCAAGUCGAGUGUGAAAGCCCCCGGCUCAACUGGGGAGGGUCACUCGAUACUGAUCGACUCGAAGGCAGAAGAGGGAAGCGGAAUUCCCGGUGUAGUGGUGAAAUGCGUAGAUAUCGGGAGGAACACCAGUGGCGAAGGCGGGUCUCUGGGCCGAUACUGACGAUGAGGAGCGAAAGCGUGGGGAGCGAACAGG